UACGAAGGGGGCUAGCGUUGUUCGGAAUCACUGGGCGUAAAGCGCACGCAGGCGGAUUGAUAGGUCAGGGGUGAAAUCCCGGAGCUCAACUUCGAAAUUGCCUUUGAUACUGUCUGUCUUGAGUCCGGGAGAGGUGAGUGGAAUUCCUAGUGUAGCGGUGAAAUUCGUAGAUAUUAGGAAGAACACCAGUGGCGAAGGCGGCUCACUGGCCCGGUACUGACGCUCAUGUGCGAAAGCGUGGGGAGCAAACAGG
rnacentral:rRNA from 1 species